CGAAGGGGGCUAGCGUUGUUCGGAAUUACUGGGCGUAAAGCGAGUGUAGGUGGUUGUCCAAGUUGGAUGUGAAAGCCUUGAGCUCAACUCAAGAAAUGCAUUCAGGACUGGAUGGCUAGAGGACCGGAGAGGAUAGUGGAAUUCCCAGUGUAGUGGUGAAAUACGUAGAGAUUGGGAAGAACACCAGUGGCGAAGGCGGCUAUCUGGACGGUUUCUGACACUAAGACUCGAAAGCGUGGGGAGCAAACAGGAUUAGAUACCCUGGUAGUCCACGCCGUAAACGAUGGGUGCUAGACGUUGGCGAGCUUGCUCGUCAGUGUCGCAGCUAACGCGUUAAGCACCCCGCCUGGGGAGUACGGCCGCAAGGUUG
rnacentral:rRNA from 1 species